rnacentral:rRNA from 1 species
AACGAACGCUGGCGGCAGGCCUAACACAUGCAAGUCGAACGCCCCGCAAGGGGAGUGGCAGACGGGUGAGUAACACGUGGGAACCUUCCCUAUACUACGGAAUAGCCCAGGGAAACUUGGAGUAAUACCGUAUACGCCCGAGAGGGGAAAGAUUUAUCGGUAUAGGAUGGGCCCGCGUAGGAUUAGCUAGUGGGUGAGGUAAUGGCUCACCAAGGCGACGAUCCUUAGCUGGUCUGAGAGGACGACCAGCCACACUGGGACUGAGACACGGCCCAGACUCCUACGGGAGGCAGCAGUGGGGAAUAUUGGACAAUGGGCGCAAGCCUGAUCCAGCCAUGCCGCGUGAGUGAUGAAGGCCUUAGGGUUGUAAAGCUCUUUUGCCGGGGACGAUAACGACGGUACCCGGAGAAUAAGUCCCGGCUAACUUCGUGCCAGCCGCCGCGGUAACAC